CCUACGGGAGGCAGCAGUGAGGAAUAUUGGUCAAUGGGCGGAAGCCUGAACCAGCCAAGUCGCGUGAGGGAAUAAGGCCCUACGGGUCGUAAACCUCUUUUGCCGGAGAGCAAGGGCCGAGACGCGUACCUGCCCGGAGAGUACCCGGAGAAAAGGCCUCGGCUACCUCCGUGCCAGCAGCCGCGGAAAUACGGGGGAUGCGAGCGUUAUCCGGAUUUAUGGGGUUUAAGGGUUGCUCGGGCGGAGGCACAAGUCAGGGGUAAAAUCGCGGGGCUAAACCCCGCUCCGCCGUUGAAACUGUGUCCCUUGAGAGUGCGAAGGGUAGGCGGAAUGCGUGGUGUAGCGGUGAAAUGCAUAGAGAUCAUGCAGAACUCCGAUCGCGAAGGCAGCUUACCGGGGCGCAACUGACGUUCAGGCACGAAAGCGUGGGUAUCGAACAGGAUUAGAUACCCUUGUAGUC
rnacentral:rRNA from 1 species